rnacentral:tRNA from 1 species
GGUGGGUUGGCUCAGUGGUUAGAGCUUAGGUGUCGCAACCGAAAGGUCGCGGGAUCGAAUCCUGCUAGAUGCUA